rnacentral:rRNA from 1 species
UGAGUACGAGAUGCUACGGCAUCGAAGCAGUCUAUGUCAUACUUCCAAGAAAAGCUUGCACUGUCAGAAACAGAUAAUGCCUGUACCAUAACCGACACAGGUGGGUAGGUAGAGUAUACUAAGGGGCGCGAGAUAACUCUCUCUAAGGAACUCGGCAAAAUGACUCCGUAACUUCGGGAGAAGGAGUGCCUUAUUUUUAAGGUUGCAAUAACAAGAUCCAAGCAACUGUUUACCAAAAACACAGGUCUCCGCUAAGUCGUAAGACGAUGUAUGGGGGCUGACGCCUGCCCAGUGCCAGAAGGUUAAAGAAGUCGGUUAGCAUUCGCGAAGCUGGUAACUGAAGCCCUGGUGAACGGCGGCCGUAACAAUAACGGUCCUAAGGUAGCGAAAUUCCUUGUCGGGUAAGUUCCGACCCGCACGAAAGGCGUAAUGAUUUGGAUACUGUCUCGGAGAGGGGCUCGGUGAAAUAGACUUGUCUGUGAAGAUGCGGACUACCUGCACCUGGACAGAAAGACCCUAUGAAGCUUUACUGUAACUUGAAAUUGAAAUUGGACUUUAUUUGCGCAGUAUAGGUGGGAGGCGUUGAAAAUAUUCUUGCGGGAAUAUUGGAGCCAUCAGUGAGAUACCACUCUUGUAAUGUUAGAUUUCUAACUUUAUAUCAUUAUCUGGUUAAAGAACAGUUUCAGGCGGGCAGUUUGACUGGGGCGGUCGCCUCCCAAAUGGUAACGGAGGCGCACAAAGGUUUCCUCUGAACGGGUAGAAAUCGUAUCUAGAGUGUAAAGGCAUAAGGAAGCUUGACUGUGAGACCUACAAGUCGAGCAGGGACGAAAGUCGGUCUUAGUGAUCUGACGGUGCUGAGUGGAAAGGCCGUCACUCAACGGAUAAAGCUACUCUAGGAUAACAGGCUAAUCUCCCCCAAGAGUUCACAUCGACGGGGAGGUUUGGCACCUCGAUGUCGGCUCAUCGCAUCCUGGGGCGGUAGUACGUCCCAAGGGUUGGGCUGUUCGCCCAUGAAAGCGGUACGCGAGCUGGGUUCAGAACGUCGUGAGACAGUUCGGUCCAUAUCCGGUGUAGGCGUUAGAAUAUUGAGAGGAGCCUUCUUUAGUACGAGAGGACCGAGAAGGACAUACCUCUGGUGUACCAGUUAUCGUGCCAACGGUAAACGCUGGGUAGCUAUAUAUGGAGUGGAUAACCGCUGAAAGCAUCUAAGUGGGAAGCCCACCUCAAGAUAAGUAUUCUCA